AAGUUGUAAAUUGGAUGGAAAAAUAGUCAGACAAGUCCCUUGCCUUCCUAAAGAAAAGCUAGUUUAUUCUAACCUUUACUUAGUUGUGGUUAAUAACUCUAGAAAGUUUCAACCUUCUCAGAGUCAGUAGGUCAGUUUAUGUAUUCUUCAAGUAAAUCCAAAUGCUUCCUUCAUUUGAAAGUUAAACCAGUAGUCUCCUAACUUAUGCAGUGAGUUUAAAAAAAAAAAAAAAAGGGAAGUAGUAACUAAAGCAUUUAGCUUUCUGAAACAAUUCAGAUGGGGAUAGGAAGUUGGUUUUAAAUGGCUUAAAGAGGAUUACGGUUUUAAAGUUGGAUAAGGAGUUUGGUGCUUUGGGUUAGGCAUGGCAUUGCUUUUAAAAGAUUACUUCCAUAUUUGACAAUGAUUCUAACUGGAGUUUAUAAAGCAAACAGUCAAUUUUAAGACACUAUGGAAGACAAGAGAGUUUCUUUUUUUGUUGUUGUUUGUUUAUACAAAAUGAUUGCCUAAAGUUAACAGGCCAAAUCCUGAAGUCCUCCUUUCAUAAUAAUACUGGGGAUCUGUCACCAGGGAGAAUCCAGCAGAGGUUCUUUAAUGCACUUAAUUGAGAUUAUCUGAGCCUUUGGUUUAAAUUACUUUAGAAAAGUCUGCAUGCAAACAACUCCUUUGAAAGGUAAACAUAUCUUUAAGGAAAAGGGUUCUUUAAAUUUCUUUGUAUAGUUAGUAGCAUCAACCCCUAUUAAUUAAAUAUGAGUACUGACUGAACAAUGAAUAAACAUAAAUUCUCUAAACAUUAGCAUGUGUUAAUAUAAUUCACAGAACAAUGAAAGUUUUUAUUUAUGAUCAUUUGAAAAUUCAGUAUUUAUUAGAAAAGCAACUACUGACAGUUUUAGUAAUUCCAAAGUAAAAAAGAUAAUGUCCUGGGGCUGGGGUUGUGGCUCAAUGGUGGAGUGCUCGCUUAGCAUGCAUGAGGCACUGGGUUCGAUCCUCAGAACCACAUAAAUGUAAAAUAAAGAUAUUGUGUCCACCUAAAACUAAAAAAAUAAAUAUUAAGGGCUGGAGUUGUGGCUCAGUGAUAUAGUGCUCGCCUAGUAAGGGCAAGGCCCUGGGUUCAAUCCCCAGCACCACAUAAAAUUAAAUAAAUAAAUAUAUUGUGUCCAACUACAACUAAAAAAUAUUUUUAAAAUAAAUAAAUAAAUAAACAUUAAACAAGAUAAAAUACAGUUAAUGAAGUUUUAGAUAUGAAUUUCUUUAUUCCAUUCCAUCUAAGAAGCAAAUCAUGUUAAAAUGGACCAAGAAUAGCAUAUACUUAAUUUGUGUAUGGGUCAAUAAUUAAAAGUCAAUAUAACAUUUCUCCCAUUUUUCUUAGCUCCUUGACCUGUUUAUGGUUUGGGAUUGGUCUACUUACCUAGCUGAUUAUGGACAGCCGGCUUCAAAGUACCUUCGGGUGAAUCCAAACACAGCCCUUACUCUUUUGGAGAAGUGAGUAUAUUCUGAAAACAUUUUGUAUAGCCUUUAACAGAUUUUGAGUCAAUGACAAAAUGAAGAACUAGAAAUUUUUACGAAAAGAGAUAUAUCUAGAUGGAGCUUUUAAAAGCUCACACUAUUUUAAUGACUAAAAAAUAAGCUUUUUUCUUACCCUUCAGAAUUGUAAUUACAUAUGCAAUUGCUUUUUGUAUGAAUGUGAACAAAACACUUUUUCUUUUGUGUCCUGAAUUGCAGGCUUAAUAGGCCUUAGAAAUGUUUAUUGGGGACUGGGUUUGUGUGGCUAAUGGUAGAGCCUUUACUAGCAUGCUCCAGGCCCUGGUUUCAGGCCCAGCACCACCACCACCAAAAAAAAAAAAAACAAAAAACAAAAAAAACCUGCAGAUAUAAAUAACAACUGAAUUUAUUAAAACCCAAUUAGGUGCAGCGGUGUCACCUAUAGUACUAGCUGUUUGGCUGAGGCAGGAGAAUUGCAUAAGCCUAUGAGUUCGAGACCAUCCUAGGCAAUAUAGCAAGGCUAUGUUAAAAAAAAAAAAGAGAGAACAAUAACAACAAAAAACUGUAUGGUUCAGGAAAGAAUGUACUUGUAAAACAUGCCCAGGAAUUGGAAUGUUCGCCACUAGGCUAUCUACAUCAUGGUUUCUUUGAAGAUAGAGAAAUAUGUAAUUUGAAAAAAAUAAUAUUGCUGGGUAUGGUGGCAUAUGCUUGUAAUCCCAGCCACUAGGAAGGCUGAGGCAGAAGGAUCUUAAGUUCAGUGUCAGCCUGGGAAAUUUAGCAAGAUACUUACUCAAAAAAUAAAAAGUUAGGGAUAACUUGGUGAUAGAGUGCCCCUGGAUUCAAUCCCUAUUACUGCCCCUUGCCAUACACACAAAAAGUGAGAGAGAAAAAAAAUAAUACUGUCAGAACUGAGGUAACAAUUUACUGGCACAUCUUUGUCCAGCUAAACACAAAUUAAGGUGUUUUUUUCUUCUCAUUAUGUGGCAGUCUGUCUUGACUUAAUCAUAUUUCACUUUACACAUCACUACUAAAAUCUUCAAUUUUUAAUUAAAAGUAUAUAUUAUUUCCCCACAUUUCACAAUAUGUGUGAUAUAUUUGACUUAAGGAACUUUUAAAAUAAAUGUAGAGGGGCUGGAGCUGGAGCUCAGUGGUAGAACGCUUGCCUAAAGGCAUGUGUGAGGCACUAGGUUCAAUCCUUAGCACUGCACAAAAAUAAACAAAUAAAAUGAAGUCAUGGUGUCCAUCUACAACUACAAAAAAAAAUUUAAAUAAAAUAAAUAUAGAUUUAUAAUGUCAUGAAACACCACUGAGGCAAAAACAUUGCUGUUUUAAAUUUUCUAAUGCAUUUUUUCCUUUUACCUUGUCUUGCUGUGAAUGUAGUUUGCAGAAUCCACAUAGAGUAUUUUAGCAUACUUUAUGGAAUAAUAUUAGAAAAUGGUAUGAUAUUUAAACUUAGCAUAUUUUAGAUUUACAUUCUAAUGCAAAAAUACCACUUCAUAUAAAAUGUAAAAUAAAACCAUUUAUGUGUGUGUGUGUGUGUUUUCUCUAUCUGUAACUACAUUAGUACCUUUUUUCUUUGAAGAAUAUUUUGUAAGCAUAGAAUUAGUGUGAGGUAAUUUGGAGCUUGCCAAUAUAUUUUACUUGUGAUAGCAUAGCUUUUAAUUUCCUCCUAAUAACCUUAUUCAUUCACAUUUGUUUCUAGGAUGAAGGAUACUAGCAAAAAGAACAAUAUAUUUGCCCAAUUCAGGAAGAAUGAUCGUGACAAACAGAAGUUGAUAGAGACAGUCGUGAAACAGCUAAGAAAUUUGGUGAAUGGUAUGUCCCAGCACACAUAGAUUUCACAUUGUUUAUACUCAGUGACACUAAUCUGUGACUGAGCAUUGAUCUCUAACAAGCACAGGUCGUGAUGUAAUAAUUUGUUUACAAAAUUCAAAAAUACAAUAGAGAAAAUACACUGAUGAGGGCUUAAAUAAGAAAUAGUAAUAACAUUUGUAUGGAUUUUUAAAAAUUGAAUACUAUUUUAUAUAUGAAAAAUGUGAAACUAAUUUUUUCAAUUUUAAGGGGAAAAGGUAAAACUAUAAUAUAUAAAUUGUCAAAAAUUGUAUAUAAAACUGAUUGCAAAUACAUUAGAAAAGCAUAUGCCUCUACUUAAAAGUAUUUUUUCUCCCCUUAUUUAAACUUGCGACCUGUUUUUUUCUUCAGUUUAUGGUUUUGGAAUGCAAUCAUGUCUAAUGUGGGAAUAUUUCACUGUCAUUUUAUGACAGUCUUAUUUUCAUCUUGAUGUGCUUUAAGUAGACUAAGCUUUUAAUUCUGCUGAUUCUGAGGGGAAAAUACACAUAUCUUUAAAGCGUCCUGAAAUCAAACUUAAUAAAGAGUGUAAAUUAUGUUCUACUUGGGUGCUUUAAUUGAAUCCUUUUGAAUAUGAAGAAAAGAUUUUGGAUUUUCUAAAGAUUUAGUGUUGUUUUUGUUCAUCAGAGUUAAUAUUUCUAUUUGCUUGUAGUUGAUAUCAUUCUAGAUUUGGUUUGGUUUGGUUUAAAUUAAAAGAUAGAACAGUUAACUGGGGCUAACCACUUCAGGUGCAGCUUGAACUAGGGUAGAUAUGUUCUUCCUACACAUAGAAAUGACCACAGGGGUCAGAUUACUUUCUUUAAAUAGCAGAUCUCAGUACUGUAUCCUCACUGUGGAAGCAGACCAAAUCAACUAAACUCUAAAAAACAUAAAACAACUGUACAUUUUCCUUUGUAUAAAGUCACUGAUAUCCAAAUAGUAAUGUAAAUCCAAUCCUUAUUUUUCUCUUGGUUGUAUUUAUGCUGAAUACUCUCUUUGCAUUUUUGGUAUUUAUACCUGUUAGAAACUAUCCCUGACUGUAAAAUAAGUGUCAAGAACUAUAUUUACAUCUUGAUUUUGUGGUGAAGUAUUAAAAAGGUUGAACAAAUCAUUGAAAAUGCAUUGUGAUUUUGUCUA
rnacentral:lncRNA from 1 species